GUCUACGGCCAUGCCAUCCUGAACACGCCCGAUCCCGUCUGAUCUCGGAAGUUAAGCAGGGUCGGACCUGGUUAGCCCUUGGAUGGGAGACCACUUAGGAAAACCAGGUGCUCUAGGCG
rnacentral:rRNA from 1 species